rnacentral:rRNA from 1 species
AAAUACCUGGCGGCGGCUUACACAUGCAAGUCCUACGGUAGCAGGAGAAAGCUUGCUUUCUUGCUGACGAGUGGCGGACGGGUGAGUAAUGCUUGGGAAUCUGGCUUAUGGAGGGGGAUAACUACUGGAAACGGUAGCUAAUACCGCGUAAUGUCUACGGACUAAAGGGUGGGACCAUUUGGCCACCUGCCAUAAGAUGAGCCCAAGUGGGAUUAGGUAGUUGGUGAGGUAAAGGCUCACCAAGCCCGCGAUCUCUAGCUGGUCUGAGAGGAUGACCAGCCACACUGGAACUGAGACACGGUCCAGACUCCUACGGGAGGCAGCAGUGGGGAAUAUUGCACAAUGGGGGGAACCCUGAUGCAGCCAUGCCGCGUGAAUGAAGAAGGCCUUCGGGUUGUAAAGUUCUUUCGGUGACGAGGAAGGCGAUUGUUUUAAUAGAACAGUCGAUUGACGUUAAUCACAGAAGAAGCACCGGCUAACUCCGUGCCAGCAGCCGCGGUAAU